UCGAGCUUCUAAUUUCCACCAGGGUUUUGCCCUCCUGGCUUGCCCCACAGACUGGCUGGUCUAAGCCUGGGUUGGGUUUAGGCUGCCUGCGAGUCCUUGUUCUUUUGUAAAGGCUGAAAAUAGCCUUUAAGUAUACAGCUGGUUUCAGGGUUUGCCCCUGGCACGUGGGUGCCGAUCUUGCCCUGGAGUUAGCUUAGUCAGCGCAGCAGGUGCUGGUGUCCCCUGCCUGUGCUGCCACUGGCCUCCUUUCAGAUCUGGGAACUGCACUUUCUUCUCUCUCUCUCUGGAUUUGUCACUGGUGUUUCUUCCUAGUGUGAUACCUAAAAUCACUGCAACACUUCGUAUUCUUCCUUUGCUUUUCCCAGACCUGGAAAGAGGACCAUGUUGGCACCUAAAUUGAUGCCCCGCUGGGCAGACGAGCUUGACUGUGCCCUGCCUACUGUGUUUGGGGGGGUUGGCCGUGUGCUGCUUCUGCAGCCCCGGGCAGGGGUGGGGGUGGGGGGAAGGGAGGUGUCUUCACGUUACCACUAUGAGAGAGGACUGCUCUUCCAUGUAAAAAUUGCUUUUUGUUUUGGGGUGAUACCAAUGUUGGGACUGUGAGCGGAGGUGACCCGAGGUACAGGUACAGAGCCCUAGAGCCACAACGUCUUGGGAGGUGGAGGACACCGGUGACUGGCCACCGAUGGUGACUUCUGGGUCACCUGGAAGGAGGCCUCUGCCCCUAUGCUGGACUUGUGUGCAUCAGCAGCCUGUGCAGAUCCUGGCCUGGGCGCACGGAAAUGAAUGCCGGUUCAAGGACUGGAGCCGAGCAGUGCCCAUGCAGGCGGAAGCAGGAGGAUUUGAAUGCUGUGAGGAACAAGUUGAAGACACGUGCAGACUUGCCCGCGUCGCAGAGAAUGUUGAUCGGUUUCUACUGUUGCUAUGCUUAUGACGUCACAUUUUCUCUAUUACCCCCUCGCUGCUUAUGUUCAGAGUCAAACCUCAUGGCAAAAUUCUGAAAUCGUGUACGAUGCUGACCAGGAAUACUUCUUCUAUGACACUAAGUCUUGACACUUGAAUCGGCCUGUUUGUUUGAGCCUCUGCCCAAGGAACCUGGGGAUGAAGUUUUCCCCCACAGUUUUCUGCUGUCCGAAGUGGGAUGCAGCGGAGCACUGAGUUGGCACCUUGAAGAGUCUGGAGACACAACCGACAGCCACGGCACCAACAUUUGGAGGUAUGAGGUCCUCCUUAAAGAAUCUCGCUUAACGAGUCUCAGCGUAGCCUAGCCUGGACGAGUAACGUCUUUGUUGCGACCCUGACAAUAACCAAAGUGAUAGAGACUCCUCCAGCUCUCAAUCUCUUGCGGAUGUUCCCGAGUCCUUGCGGACUUCCCACCUCAAUGAAACGGGGAAGCUGUUGAACAUGGACCCAGUUCAUUUAACAUAUAACGCACGCAAACCUUGUCCUGCCAUCGAUCAGUAUCCUUUGUGCCGUGAAGCUGACGAAGACCCACUGCCAAGAAGCAGCUCAGAGAAUUUUUCGGCUCUGCAUCUUGUUGUUGGCGGUGGAUACCUACCUUUUCUGUACCAGCUAAACCGGGAAACAAGCUUACUAAGGAUGAUUCUCCUAAGAACCCUGUGCUACAGAGCGAGCACCACGAACAACCCUGUGUUACCCUACAAACUGCACGAGUCUCUGCAACAGCAGUGGGACACCCUGACUGGUAAACCCUUUGCAGGAUACUGUCGUGAAAGAGAAGGUGUUGCUACCGCAGUCCCAACCCAACCUUUUCGUUCUUCUUAUACACCACGUGCUUACUUUUCUUCCUUGCUUGACCCUGUUGCUCGAGGAUGUCCAACUUUGUUUGCGUGCUGUCCCUGCUGCUGCAUUGCUUUUAGAAAAAUCAGCAGCUACGCUUUUAGGAUCUCCUGUUACCCUUGCUAUUCCCCAUGCUGUCUCUGCCUUGUUAAAUCGUGGGAAAACUCAACAAUUGUCCUCUCCAAGGUUAUCUUCUGACGAACGCGCUAUUAUAGCUGCCGAUUAAUGUUACUGCUGUUCGUGAUAAUGUUUUAAACCCUGCUUCUCGUUUACCUGUACCGCACGAUGGAGAUACUCGCUUGUUAAAUCAGGACUGCAUUACUCAGACAGAUCAGGUAUUUACCGUGUCCAGAUCUCACAGAUACAUCUCUAGUUAACCCUGAUUGCAUUUCUUUUGCAGAUGGCUCAUGCAAAAGAGACGCGACUGGGCAACUUUGCGCUGGUUUGGCCGUACGUUCACCCCAUACAGUCAUUGAAGCUCACAGUCUUCCCGGUAUCCGGCGCGCACAACCCACUGAACUAACAGCCUUAACCCGUGCUUGUAUUGUAGCUGACAAUAAGUCUGUUAAUAUUUAUGCGGAUUCCCAUUAUGCCUUUAAAGUGUGCCAUUCCACAGGUCAGAUUUGGAAGCAUCGUGGAUUCCUUACCUCGUCUGGGUCUCCUAUUCCUCACGCUCCUUCAACUAAUGCCUUGCUGGAUGCUAUUUUCCUCCUGAAACCAUUUUGUGUUCUGCACUGUAAAGGUCAUACAGGAGGUUUGCAUGAUGUGAGCAAAGGAAAUCCUUGUGCAGAGAAACAUGCGCAGCAUGCAGCGCUCGAUGGUACCUCACUUGCCAUUCCCUUUUGUCUAGUCCUUGAUCUCGUAACCUCUAACGUGUCUCUUCUCCAGGAUGCAGCUCCAGAAUCCGAAAAACACGUGUGGCUGUCUGCCGGGGGUAUCUUACAUUCAGAGACCUUGUGGAAGUUUCGUUACGGGUGCAUCAUUCCCCCUAAAACCCUUGUCCCUCAUCUUGCAGGCACGUCCCAUGAAAUGGGAUGUGCGUGCAAAAGCGGGGUAGGAAAAAACAUUUUAACAUACUAGUAUGCACCCCCUAUACAUACACAAGCGAAAAGGAUCUCACAAACUUGUGCGAUAUGCUUGCAACAUGGAAUUAGGCAACCCACAUAUGUCCAGGCUACUGCCACUCCCUGGUCUUAUGGACCAUUUCAAAACUUACAAGUAGAUUUCACUGAUUUACUGCCUAGCAAAUGGUUCAAGCAUGUCCUUGUCAUUGUGUGUUGCUUCAGUGGGUGGACAGAAGCUUCCCACACAAGAAGAGCAGAUGCAGGCUCUGCAGCAAACACAGUAAUGACUGAAUUGAUUCCACGAUUUGGCCUACCGCUUACAAUACAUUCAGAUCAGGGACCGCAUUGUACUUCUCAAAUCCAAAAGAUUUUUAGCAAAGCUUUAGGAUUUUCAGGCCAAUUUCAUACACCUUAUCAUCCAGCAAACUCAGGGAAGGUACGACGCGUUAACCGAGAUAUUUAAAUUACCCAAACUUAGGAAGCCGACGUAACUUUAAGGCCCUGACAUUCUUCCGAUUGUGCUACUGCGCCUCAGGAACAUGCCUAGUAUAAAACAUGGCCCUACGCCAUGUGACAUUUUAUUUGGUAGACCUAUGAACUUGGGUUUAACCCCUGUCCAAGAGAGUAAAGCAGUAGAUCUGUUAGAAGGUCAUGACAGUGUGUUCAGUUAUAGCAAAGGACUCAUGAAGACUGUCAAAACUUUGUUUCCACAGGUCAUUGCAGCUUUACACAUUCCAACUGCUGUUCCCUGCCAUGGUUGGACACCUGGCGAUUGGGUCCGAGCAAAGGAAUGUUCCCAGAAGGACUGCCUGCAACCUGGACGGACUGGACCCCAUCCAGUCUUGCUCGCCACUAAUACUGCCGUAAAGGUGGAUGGAAAUUCCGCCUGGAUACAUGCAUCUCAUUGCAGAAGGACAUUAAUGCCAAAGAAAGAAGAAGAAAUCAACCCAAAACCAGCCCGGUCGCAAUUAGAUCGCACUCAAACGGAAACUGAGGAAUAAGGUUUCCAAGAAACGAAUGAGGAUACCCCUCACCUUGCUGAGCCCCCGCACAACUAUAACCUUUGUCCUAGAAGACAAGCCAAGGAAAGGGAGAAUUGUGUUGGGCACGCAACUAUUCCGAGCCAAAUUUUGAUUCCGUGGGAAACAGUAGCUGUUAACAUUUUGAUACGGGACGAGGAGUGCGGAUGAACGGUCAUACUACAGAGAGAACGUGGUGCCAAAGUUUUCAUGGAUGGUAUGGGCCAAAUAACUGCGCUAGCAGAACUGGUGCAGUAUCCUGCACACCAAUGAAGUGGUCACAUGUCGCCAUAUUGGAAUGUUUAAAUUUAGGAGGGCAUUGCUAUAGACAUGGCACCAUAAAGUCAGCAUCUCCUGACAGUUUGGAAAGGCCGUCUCCUAUUGGAGCUCAGUUUACCGAGACUGUUAUGAAGGCUCUUUCAGUAAUAACCAGGCCCUGCCAGGAACCUACCGGGUGUGCGGGACUAAAGUCUACCAUCAGGUACUGCCACAGUGGUCCGGAUACUGUUAUGUCGCCUGACUAACCCCUCCAGCCUGAGCUAGAAACGUUCUGCCUCCAGGGCAUCCCCGAAAUGAAAUAGAAAGCCCCGAGCAAGCAGAUUGAGAACAGCAUGUGCUAGCUACCCUUGAAACUUAUACAAAUCCUUUCACCUUGGGACAAUUACUAGGCUGUUCUGUAGCAGGAAUAAGUCCACCAAUUACCGAGCCGGCGAUCUCCUGUUUGGGGAGACAUACCGUACGACUACAAGCGGCAGUCGAAAUAUGGGCGCUAGAAACUGAAACUGCCACAGCCAGUCUGGGAAACGCUAUGAAGAGCAUAGGCCAACAUCAAGAUACUUUACGACUACUGCUUAUGCAGAACCGAUUAGCCCUAGACUAUGUUUUAGCAUCGGAAGGGGAUGCCCGCGCUGCAAUAGGCCAAUAAGUGUUGCCCUUAUGUAAAUAGUACCUUUGAAUUAGUAGAAAAUCAAGUUAAUAAUGGGAUGCUUCAUGCUGCAAAAGCUGCUGAAGCAGCCUUUGUUCCCAAAGAUUAUUCAGUACACUGGUUGGAGUGGUUAGAUCCUAGGGGAUUAUUCCAAGGUCUGCUUGGGAAAAUAAUAUCUGCUUUGUGUAUGGUUUAUAUUUUAGGGUUACGUUUGUAUGUGAUUGUGCAACUAGUUUUCUACUGCACAAAGUUGUGUGUUAGAAAGGCUGAACACACUAUCUCAUCUGGGGCCAAAGAUACGAUUGGAAACAUGGUGUUAGAACUGAACAAUAAUGAAAUAGAGCAAGAGAAACUAUGGACAGACCUGUGCCAAAUAUAAAUAUAGUGAUGCUCCUUUGGAAGGAGCAAAGGGGGGAAAUGAACGGGAAAACAA